rnacentral:rRNA from 1 species
CCUACGGUGUGCUGCAGUGGGGAAUAUUGGACAAUGGGCGAAAGCCUGAUCCAGCCAUGCCGCGUGUGUGAAUAAGGCCUUCGGGUUGUAAAGCACUUUCAGUGGGGAAGAAAGCCUUGGGGCUAAUACCCUCGAGGAAGGACAUCACCCACAGAAGAAGCACCGGCUAACUCCGUGCCAGCAGCCGCGGUAAUACGGAGGGUGCGAGCGUUAAUCGGAAUUACUGGGCGUAAAGCGCGCGUAGGCGGUCUGAUAAGCCGGUUGUGAAAGCCCCGGGCUCAACCUGGGAACGGCAUCCGGAACUGUCAGGCUAGAGUGCAGGAGAGGAAGGUAGAAUUCCCGGUGUAGCGAUGAAAUGCGUAGAGAUCGGGAGGAAUACCAGUGGCGAAGGCGGCCUUCUGGACUGACACUGACGCUGAGGUGCGAAAGCGUGGGUAGCAAACAGGAUUAGAUACCCCAGUAGUC